rnacentral:lncRNA from 1 species
CAUCCACUGACGUCCUCACCCAUGGCAUAAGCAAGUUUUUCUGAAGGUCUCUCUUGUGCUCCUGCCUCCUGCCAUGAGAACAGCAAGUCCCAGGUAAGAACUAAUCCUUCUGCCUAACUCUCCAUAGGAGAAAACCUGAACUUGACCUACGUUCUGGAACAGAGCCACCCAGAUGACCCACAGACACUGGGAGAGAAAUGAAGACUUAUUGUUUUAGACUUUGAUAUUCUGGAAUUGAUUGCAGCAUCAUUACGGCAAAAGCUGACUAAUACAAUUCCAUUUGUUAUUCUAUUAAGUUCUUUUUGUUAAAAAAGUAUAUAACCAUUGUUGAAAAAUUA